CUCCAUCCGGCGCCUUCCAACGGGCAUAGGAGGACAACAAACCACCCCCUGCGUUCCGCCGAGCCCUCUCGGUCGCGUGGCGCGCGGAGAUGUGCGAUGCUCUCGGACCUAGCGAACGCUGUGGGCGAGGACUCAUGUCCCAGUCCCGAAAAGAAGGUUCGAUAUAAUGCAUGAUGGCUACUCCCGCCCUUCGACCGCCCCUGCGGCGCGGGGGCGAGGCGCGGCGUCACGGAGGAAUGCUACCU
rnacentral:misc_RNA from 1 species